UUCUUGUAUACGUGAUGUGACGCGGGUAUAUUUAUACAUAUACAUAUACAUGAAUAAUAUAAUAACUGCCAGCGUGGUGCGAAUGACACGGUGACGAAUCUCUUUCUCUGCAACGAAUGACAGGCUUCUGAUUUCUCGACUCAUCAAUGAAGCCUGCUAGAUUAAAAAAUUAUGCUAAGCAUCUGUCAUGAACGUAACUGGAGGUGGUAAACGACCUCUGGUAGUUUUAAGAGAGGUAAGAGAAAAUGGGGAGGCGAGAGAACGUCGUCUGGACAACUGCGGUGACAGUUGCAUUUCUGGUGAUUGCACUGAGCUCCGGUCGCACAAAACAACCUUCGAUCAUCGUCACAAAAGAGUGCUCCUCUCAUCUGAUUCGUCCAAAUCUGCCGACAACUUGGCUGAGAGUGAUCAGGCCGGUAUGGGAAAAGAUUCAAAACCAUUUUUCAACCCUUGCAAGAACGAUCAUCCAGCCCGAGAAAUGAUGAAAGACGAUGCGAAAGGUAUCUUAUUUCACUCAGACAUUCUCCACGCAGAGACCGACGUAGAUUCAAAAAAGGGGGAGGAUGAGAAACCCCCAAAGGCGGCAAAGAAAAAGAAACGAAGAUUUCUCACGAUUUGUACGAGCAACUGUAAGUACGAAGUUGUUAGAAGAGUCGCGGCGCGAUUUGGAAUGAAAGAAGUCACGGAAGACAGCAGCUGGAAUUUGUAUUGGACGGAUCUGAGUGUCAGCAUAGAACGAGCGAAAGACAUGAAACGUUUUCAAAAAGUUAAUCAUUUUCCCGGGAUGACGGAGAUUUGCCGGAAGGAUUUACUCGCCAGAAAUCUUAAUCGGAUGCUUAGACUUUUUCCGAAAGAUUACAACUUCUUCCCAAAAACUUGGUGUCUUCCUGCCGAUCACGGAGAAGCGAUUUCGUACGCCAAAGUACGAAGAACGAAAACCUUCAUUGUGAAACCGGAUACUGGUUGCCAAGGACGCGGCAUAUACUUGACCAAAAAUUUAAAGGACGUUAAGCCAUACGACAGGAUGAUUUGUCAGGUUUACAUAGCAAGGCCUUUCCUCGUCGAUGGAUUCAAGUUCGACUUGCGUGUUUAUACCUUAAUAACUUCGUGCGACCCUCUGAGGAUUUAUAUUUACAAUGACGGUCUUGCGAGGUUUGCUACAAGUCGUUACAAGGAGCCAACAGGUCACAAUACUUCGAACGUUUUCAUGCAUCUAACCAACUACGCGGUCAACAAACACAGUCGUAUGUACGUCGUUGAUGAUGAAGCUGGAAGCAAGAGAAAAAUUUCAACCCUCAAUAAAUGGCUAAAAAUGAAAGACGUGGAUGUCGAUGAGUUGUGGUCGAGAAUCGAUGAGGUUAUUAUAAAAACGGUAUUGGCUGCGUAUCCCGUUCUGAAGCACAGCUAUCACACGUGUUUUCCCACCCACGACACGACUUAUGCAUGUUUCGAACUUCUCGGCUUCGAUGUUCUUCUCGACUGGAAGUUGAAGCCGUAUCUGUUAGAGGUGAAUCAUUCGCCAAGCUUCCACACCGACGCCCAAAUUGACAAAGACAUCAAAGAAUCGCUGCUGAUGGACACGUUUGACAUACUGAAUUUUCAACAAUGUGAUAAAAAGAAAAUCAUCGAAGAGGAUAGAAAGAGGGUCAGAGAAAGACUGCUCCAGGGAAUAAAUUCCAGAGACUCUAGUCUAAACGACGCAGCAUCGUCAGGCGUAGGAAAACUUGAGAAACCAGAGGAAAGCGCAAUUGAGAAACAGUACAAAUGGGAGGACGAGCAUUUGGGAAAUUUCAGAAGAGUCUAUCCAGGCCCAGGCACUGAGAAAUACGAUCCGUUCUUCAAGCAGGGUGGAAGUUCCAUGUUUCAAGAUACAGCUGCGUCCAGGGCUCGCGAAGAGGCUGCCAAAGUGCACAGAGAAGAAGCAGAGUUACGGAUUAAGGAGCAGGAGGGUAAAAGGAUGCUUGGCAAAUGGAGCGAUCAUAAACUGCGGCCCGAAAGUCCAGUGAGCAAUAAAAAAUCAGGAGCUGUUAUAAUCAGCCAAGACAAGAGCAAGCCAAAAAUUAUGGCGAAAAAGGUGAAAAAACCAGCCACCACUCAAUUUACUGAUAAUAAUCUGUACUCCUUUGAACCUGAGAUAAUUUGCGAGUCUGAGGAAAGGGAUCGUAUAACCGCGUUGGCGCAGCGUGAUUUCUUGAUAAAAAGCUACGGCAUGUUAGAGCAAAUAUAUUUGGCUAUGAAAAAGAACGGCACGUUGCGACCGGAGGAUGAAAAAAAAUACGGACUCUACGGAAAACUUGGAUACAUGAAUGAUAUAUCGUUGAAUGGAUCUGCUCUUGGUAAAAAAUCGUAUUAUUCUUACCAGAAUAUAUCGGUACAAAAAGCAGCUGCAAGGUAUCAACCUAUGGCAAACCAAAGUGCCGAAUACAUAUUGAAAGUAGUAAAGGGCUCGAAAAAGUCUGUAGUGACGUAAAUGGCAAGAUUGUUUGUUAUUCCUACCGUACCCGUAUUCGUGAAUAAGACAAAAUUUUCAAAUGGUACGACAGAAGAUAUUAUGUAUGUAAACAAUAAGUUGUAUCUUGGAUUACCGAUACACCGUAUACACCUCUUGGAAAUAUCUCGGAUAAUUUUAAAGUAUCGGUUAGCAGGUUCUGCAAACGGAUACAAAAAUGGGGAUAAAUGUGAGUUAGAAUUAAUUUUUGUAACUCCAAAUGACAAGUUCGCAUGUAUGUACUCGAGUACUUUUCGCGUCGAGACUUAACGACUUAGACUUAUAAAACAAUGGCAAUAAUUAAUGAUUAAGAAUGGAAAAUUGACUGUAAGUGUAACCGCCGUGUAUGCACAGGUUUAAAAAUAAUGUGCAACGAGGCACCGGUCUACGCGAGACCGGAUAUCCCGGAAAAACUUUGGAUCGAAGAGUUGAAUGCAAAUGAACGAGACGCGAGAAUGACAAAGACUCAUGUGGCUAGAACACUGUCAAACGCCCUGCGACUCCAUGCUUUGGAGAAAAGAGAGACAUCAAAUCCUUCCAACGUAUAAACGUAGAGCUUCGUUGAUUGAAUGAAUGUAGAAAAUAUCCGGGCAAACCGGUAAAUAAUAAUUACUGCAUAAGACCAGCGGAUAGAUGUCCGAGACUUGGCUAACUUAUAAAUGAACAUUUAUUAUACGCAUAUUAUUGCAGUG